CCGGAGUUUCCACAGUGCUGGAACUCCCGGCUCGGGGUCUCUUCCCUCCGCCGUCACGGAAGUGCCCCGGAGCCCGAGGGGAGGGCGGCCUCACUGAGGCUGCCGGCUGUUGAGGGCCCCUGGCGGCCGAAGCCGCGACAGUCGUGGGGACGGCGGGCCGGAUCACUCAUCCUGGGGUAAGCCAGCUGCCAUGUCAUGAGGACACUCAAGCAGCCCUAAGGAGAGAUCCAUGUGGCAAGGAACUGAGGCCUCUUACCUACAGCCACGUGAACACCAUGCUAGCAAAAAGAGAGUGGUGUGAAAUAUUUAGUAUUGAAAGGAAAAAAACACCAACCUAGAAUUCUGUAUCCAAUGAAAUUCGCCUCUAAAACUAAAGAGGAAAUGAAGACUUUCUCAGACAAGCCAAAACUGUAGGAAUCUUUCACUAGCAGGCCUGCCUUGCAAGAAAUGUUGAAAGUUCUUCGAGAGAUAGAAAAUGAUAUGGGUCAGAAAUUCAGAUCUACAUAAAGAAUGGAAGAGAAUUAGAGAAGAAAUAAAUAAAGAUUCUAAAUCAGCUGGUACUGUUUUAGUAUGAUACACACGAUGGAGAGAAUGCAACAUAUAUAGAUUACUGUAUACAGAGCUGUGAAAAAGACGAUGUUCUCUUCAAGUACAGAGAUCCCAUUUAUAAAAUUCAAACAUUUUAAAGAAAUCCAACAGGACCCAAUUCUCCAUGCCUUGUGCAACUGCUCAAGGGCUGCUGCAGCUGACACUGAAGGAAUGGUACAAGUGUGCAAGGGCCAACUCAGCAAAAGCCAAACUGCAGAAGAACCUAUUUGCCUUUAAUCAAGUGGCUAAGUUUGCCACAUUUAUCCAUCUCACAAAAAGUUGUUUUGUGGAACAGUCUUCUCUAACAUACUCAAAAAAAUAAAUGACUGUUCACAGGACUGCCCACAAUGACCAUCCAGAGCACAGGCUCCGGACGCGCAGGCUCAGCGGCCACAGCUCAUGGGACCAGCCGCUCCGCAACAUGUGGGAUCUUCCCGGACCGAGUCAAGAACCCGUGUCCCCUUCAUUGGCAGGCGGACUCUCAACCACUGUGCCACCAGGGAAGCCCUUAUUAUUCUCUUUUUAAAUUAUACUUUAGGUUGGUUCUGUUGGUUACAGCAUGUCACCAAUGAAUAUAAAUGAAUAUAAAGUCCCACAUUUCAUUUUUAACAGCCUAACAAGCUAAACAGCCUUGCUCUUUCAGGCUUAUGAGCAAUACUCUAAACCAUGGCUGGCUGCCUAAAAAAAAAAAGCAUGCUGCUUAUCAAAAGGGGCCUAGAUGGACAGAUAGAAGAUCAAAACAUCAAUAAAAACCUUAAUGUGUUUACUAUUAAAUUACUGACAAAAGGUCAGUAGCACCUUGUUUGAAUAUGUAGAUUGUUAUCCCAAAACAUUUCUGUUAAGAGUUCCUAAAACGAUGACAAAAAUAAAGGUAUUGUCCUGAUUAUAAAAUUAGUACGUCUAUUGAAGUACAGGUAAUAUGGGAAAAUAAUUUUUUAUCCAGAUUCCUGAUAUUUUCCUUGGCAUAUAGUGCUAGAAAUAGGAUUGCAAGUUCAAAGUUAUGAGUGUUUUGAAGGCUACUGGCAUAUUAUUUUGCCAAACUGACUUCCAAAAAGGUUAAACCAAGCUACACUCUCAUUACCAUUGUAAGAGAAUUCUUACUUGAAUGGAGUAUUUUCAGGUUCUAGCAUUGCUUUAUUUCGAAGAAUAGCUGGUCCAGCUCCUACUGAAAGGUCAGUUGGAUAUGUGUUGACAUAGUUGGGGGGAGGACCUUCAAAUUGAUCCAUUUUCUCUUGCAAGAUCUGCUCCCAAUUCUCCAAGUUUUUAAUCACAGCAAUACCUAAUGGUGAUGUUACAGGCAACUCUAAAAUGUAAUAGAAUAUGAUAUUUUACUUUGAUUAAAAAUGUUGACCAUCACCACAUAUUUACAAGAUCCAAAUUCUUAGAGCCAAAACUUCUGAAAGUACAAAUAAAUCUGAAAAUGUUAAUCUAACACCAUUUUGAUAUUUAAUGCUUUGAACAAAACAGAAGACCAGCUUUCUAAAAUGAGCUAAGAAAAUGUUUAGCUUCUCCAAGCUGGUUUCCUGGUUUUUCUUCCAACCUUCUAGGUAGUCAGUGAUUCUUGCCAUAUGAAUUAAAACCACAGACUGGAGCCUAAGAUAAAUAAGACCUCAUAACAUCUCCAAUGCUGUAUUUUUUUAGUACCACAUGUUCUUUUAUAUGGAUUUUGUAAAGAGAAACUUGAUGAUAAUUUGUUGUAUUUAAUAACAUUAAUUUUCAAAUUCCAAACUUACCAGAGAAUUCCAAUCCAGCAAUGGGAAAGAAAUUCUUGACAUUGUGAAGUACUAGCUUAACCAUUGUCAAAUGUAGAAGAGCCCAGCUGUUCAAAGGGACAAAAAAAAAAAUCUCCUUAAUUGAAAAAUAAAAUCAUGAGAAUAUAGUAAUGAUCCCUGUCAACUGUUUGGCCCAAUCUCCCACCCAGAAAAAACGAUGUUUUCUUCUAACAUAACUUACUAUUAAAAAAGAGUACCUUUGUAGUCUCUGAAAAUAAAAGAUAUGCAACAAUGUAUUACACUUGCAUUAUCUGAAAUACCUAAUGGAAAGAGAAUUACCACACAG